rnacentral:lncRNA from 1 species
GUGAAAUGGAGUGAGGCAUACAAGGAUAUGUGUGGUUUUACUCUUGGGAAGGAGGUUGAACAGUGCAAUAUUUCUUCUAUAGGAUUGCAGUGACCAGAUAUGCUACUGUAACUCUCAUGGUCAUGUGCUGGAAUUAGCAGAUAUUCAACAAUUUGGCCAUCUCGCUGACCUAUUGAUAUCAGAAGGUAACAAUAUCCAGUAGAAUUUGUUUUAGUUGUUCUAUAACCUAUUUGAAUAGUAUUGUGAUUUUUGAUUGCUUAUCACUGUAGACCGCAGCAGCUCUGGCAAAGCAAGUUGCAAAACAGAAUCCAUGAAACUGGCAGUGACUGGAAACCAAUUGGAAGACUUUGGUCUGUGAUGUAGAGGAGUGGGCAGAGGUAGCAGAAGCAAAGACAACAAACAACAGAAGUGAUAUGGAUGUCUUCGUCAUAUGGCAUGACUCUGCUGAUCCAGCAACAAUAAGGAGGGUGUUCAACAUCAUCCUGCUAGUCAGGAUUCUUCAGGAGAAGCAGUGGAUUCUUGUGGCAGAGAUGGCCAACCACAAUAAAUACCUUUCAACUCAUCCUGAUUCCUUCAAAGAACUUUCCUGCUUGUUUGCUACUGAAAAGUACUGAUUCGACAUGUGGCCUAAACAAAGAGGGGUUAAAAGGUCUAUGGAUCAUCAUUCUCAGAAAGCAACAAAAUAACUGAUAAAUAAACAACAAUACGAUGGUGCAAUCUAGAGACCUGCAAGGUACCUGCAAGUUUUGGCUGGAGCAGAGAACAUAGAUUUUUUAAAAUAAAGCUCCAGCUGAUGAGUAUGACAUUGACUGUGGAUUUUCUUUUACUGUAAUCCAGAAGAGGAUGACCUUAACCCUGAAUCUAAAGCAUGUAAUAAAAUCUGUAAAAAUAAAAUUUUCAUCAUCUAUAACCAAA